UACGUGAGGGGGCAAGCGUUGUCCGGAUUUAUUGGGCGUAAAGAGCGUGUAGGCGGCCAGACAGGUCCGUUGUGAAAACUCGAGGCUCAACCUCGAGAUGUCGAUGGAAACCGUCUGGCUAGAGUCCGGAAGAGGAGUGUGGAAUUCCUGGUGUAGCGGUGAAAUGCGCAGAUAUCAGGAAGAACACCUAUGGCGAAGGCAGCACUCUGGGACGGUACUGACGCUGAGGCGCGAAGGCUAGGGGAGCGAACGGG
rnacentral:rRNA from 1 species